UCCAAACAAGCCUGAGCGCUGUCAGCCAAUCAUAUCGUGCUGCGUAAAUGUAAACACGCGAGUAGGGCAUGUUUGGCGCAGCCGUAUAUUAUCCCCAGGAAACAUGAAGAACUAUUUUUUCUCGCGGAGUGUUUCCGACCUCUGAGCGACACAACAACAAAGACUGAGUUCAUUCAAAUCACUGGUAAACAAGCGACGUGUUGUUGUUGUUCGAGAGAGACGACGGUAGAAGGUCUUCAUCAGUCCAGAGAAAUACGAUAGUGAAAGAUGCGUCUCCCAACUGAAAUUAAUAACGUCGAACCAACCGAUGAUGUGGUACCAGUCGAUUUGGAUGCCUUGAUAGGAAAACUGAAGGAAAACCUGACUGUGAAAUCUUGUUGUCGUGAAAAGGUAGAGCGACAACAUAAUGUACGCCCGUCACCAUAUUGUAUUCCUCGCAAAACAUCAACAACGCUACCUAAUAGGACUUUACAACCAUCAGGUGCGGCUGGAAACCUUUACAGUUCUCAGGGAUUUAUCAAAUGCUCAAAGUGCUUUCAGAGACAAUGUAAGUGCAGCUAUACGGAGGGCAGUUCUAUUAUGAUUCUCAAACAGCUACUACGCGAACAGACCUUGAUUCAGGAGGCUGUCCGGCGGAUACAAAGUAGGACUGAUAAUAACGGGGAGCACGUGCUCUUUAGACCGUGUUCUCCUGUGGGGCACGAAUCGGAUUGGCAUAGCGAGGGGUUUACAACUCGCCAUACAAGUUACGAAAGCGAAAUUGGGACGCCGCUGGAAUCGGACAUUGACUCGUGAAACUUUGCAAAUUUUAGUAACUAACAAAUUGCGUGUCUGUGACGUAUGCAACCAACUUCAUUUGUUAGUCGUGUGUGAAUGGACAGAAGCAGCACAAAUUAUCUCGUCUCUUAACUUCUCUGCCACCGCACUGCCGUAUUGGCACGGACUUCGAUCUCUUUCAAUUACAUGGUAUUAGUGACCGGUUAUCUCGUAUGUAUACGUCUCUGCUCCUACUUACUAAGUUAAUUGAAGCCAAAGUAAACGGUAUAUUUCAACAGGAACAAGGAACUAUUAGACUCGCCACACUAUGAACAGAAAGUAUAUGGUUUUGUGUGGAAUGUGGGAUAGGCUUAACAGUGGAGGAAGUAUUAUUGAUUACAUUAAGCUAUAAAUAGUCGUGGAUCGGACGAUAUAUUUCUCAGGUAAACUACACCACGUAGCGGAGGGAUACAUGUAGUCUGGGUCGCUCAGAAGGUCGCCUGGAGAUCUAUGGUGACCCACAUACCGCUUGUUUGUAAACACAAGUCCCAGGUCAGUGCGCACGCUCUUUGUAUGUUGAAGCACCCUCGGGCGGUUCAAUCUGCGACACAUCGGAAAGGAAACCUGUUUCCGGUGUGAUAAUAAACUGGACUUGAAGAACAAAGGACUUUAUUGAAUCUCCACGUGACUAACGGCUCGUUAUAUAAUAUAUGGGAAUAUUAAUCGGGAUGGAGUGAUUUUAUUAUUAUAUUUAUUUUAAAACGAACGAUAGUGCUUUUAGGUUCCAAUAGUACUCCUGAUGAAUUUACCAGUUGUAGUUUACAUUGUCUUUAACUGUAUACUAUAAAUAAUGACGCUAAUUUACCCAAUGGUGGAGAGAGAGGUGUGACGUUAUUGUGACAGGAUGUUUGUGUAUGUGACGGGAGGGAUGUAAGGAUCCAAGUAAUGUGACGUUAUUGUGAUAAUGUAUGUGGUAGAUUGAUGGAUGAGUGUGAUGGUCACUAGUGGUCAGCGAUACUGUCUGGUCACAUGGUGCUUUGUCUCGUGAUAGUAUUUUUUUUUUACAAUUUUGUUAUACCUCAUUAAAAUGUGGUACAAUGUAAA
rnacentral:lncRNA from 1 species